rnacentral:rRNA from 1 species
GGGGAAUAUUGGACAAUGGGCGCAAGCCUGAUCCAGCCAUGCCGCGUGUGUGAAGAAGGCCUUUUGGUUGUAAAGCACUUUAAGCGAGGAGGAGGGUAACCUAGCUAAUAUCUAGGAUUAUCGGACGUUACUCGCAGAAUAAGCACCGGCUAACUCUGUGCCAGCAGCCGCGGUAAUACAGAGGGUGCGAGCGUUAAUCGGAAUUACUGGGCGUAAAGCGCGCGUAGGCGGUUUGUUAAGUCGGAUGUGAAAUCCCCGGGCUCAACCUGGGAACUGCAUUCGAUACUGGCAAGCUAGAGUAUGGGAGAGGAUGGUAGAAUUCCAGGUGUAGCGGUGAAAUGCGUAGAGAUCUGGAGGAAUACCGAUGGCGAAGGCAGCCAUCUGGCCUAAUACUGACGCUGAGGUGCGAAAGCAUGGGGAGCAAAC